rnacentral:pre_miRNA from 1 species
CCACACAACCAGCAAGAAGGAAAUAAGAUUAAUCCCUUUCUUCUUGCUGUUUGUGCAGGU